rnacentral:rRNA from 1 species
UACGAAGGGGGCUAGCGUUGCUCGGAAUCACUGGGCGUAAAGGGUGCGUAGGCGGGUUUCUAAGUCAGAGGUGAAAGCCUGGAGCUCAACUCCAGAACUGCCUUUGAUACUGGAAGUCUUGAGUUCGGGAGAGGUGAGUGGAACUGCGAGUGCAGAGGUGAAAUUCGUAGAUAUUCGCAAGAACACCAGUGGCGAAGGCGGCUCACUGGCCCGAUACUGACGCUGAGGCACGAAAGCGUGGGGAGCAAACAGG